GGACUACAGGGGUAUCUAAUCCUGUUUGAUCCCCACGCUAUCGUGCCUCAGCGUCGGUACGUCCCCAGCGAGCUGCCUUCGCUAUCGGCGUUCUGGUAGAUAUCUAUGCAUUUCACCGCUACACCUUCCAUUCCGCCCGCCCAGAGACGACCCAAGCCCCGCAGUAUCGUCGGCACGCCACGGGUUGAGCCCGUGGGUUUCACCGCAGACUUACGGGGCCGCCUACGCACCCUUUAAACCCAAUAAAUCCGGACAACGCUUGCACCCUCCGUAUUACCGCGGCUGCUGGCAC
rnacentral:rRNA from 1 species